UGGCAAUGAUGACAAAAAGGCCGGACUCACAGCUGCCCUGGACAUUCUUGUUUCAGUUGGUAGUAGAAUGAUGUGACUUGUCGUGAAGGUGUUAGCUGAGCCAG
rfam:Musa acuminata subsp. malaccensis Doubled-haploid Pahang (DH-Pahang) genomic chromosome, chr7